rnacentral:rRNA from 1 species
UACGUAGGGGGCGAGCGUUAUCCGGAAUUACUGGGCGUAAAGCGCACGCAGGCGGUUCGCCAAGUUUGGAGUGACAGUUGUCGGCUCAACCGACAAAGGACUUCAAAAACUGGUGAACUUGAGGACGAGAGAGGAACAUGGAACUCCAGGUGUAGUAGUGAAAUGCGUAGAUAUCUGGAAGAACACCAAUGGCGAAGGCGGCUCACUGGCCCGAUACUGACGGCUGAGGCACGAAAAGCGUGGGGAGCAAACAGG